CAUGGUAGCAACAUCAAUUUCCCUUAAUUCUGAAAUCAUUUUCAGGAAAUUUCACUUAAACAAAAACAUAGUGCAUCAUUCAACAUUCGUCAUUUAGGACUGUGAUUUGACAACACACCCCAAAAAGUCAAUUCUGGGAAUAUAAAGCAGACUCCACAUACUGGUCAUUAACAGCAAAUGCGAGUUGAGCCCUUUCAGCUCUAAAUAAAAAUAACACAAUUUAAAAAAAUGUGGAUGGCUUAAAAAAAAAAAAAGUGUUUGAAGAAUAAAAAUUUAAAAGGUCACAAGCUGCAUUUUCAAUUUACUGUUUGUAUCAAGAGUUAAUCCAAAUUUAGCUUUCGGGUAUUUUUAGACUGGAAAAGCUUUACUGCCUAUAAACGAGUUACUCGUAAGCUGAAUUCGUAUAUGAACAGCGAACACUGAGACUUGAGCUCUGAAUCACUUCCAUUCCUUUCCGGUUGAUCCCUCCCCUUCUCCCAAUACCUACAUACAUUUACCCUAAAAAGCAUCGCUAUCACUAGUUCCACAGCCUCCUCCUCAAGGUCCAGAACCAAGGCCUGCAAGAUGCCGACCACAUGGGCCUUCCCCAUAGGAAUCCGCACCGACUACGGGAGUUUAGGGGGCGGUCUUCAAUACGGCCUCAUCAAUCCUACAAGGAGAACCGAAGUGUCCCUGUUGUUCUUGGCUCCGCUGCGGAGGGCCGGGGCGGGAGUUAACUGAGGCGGGGAGGGAGGGGGUGGAGGAUACCGGAUUAAGGUCGGUGCAGUGUGAGGGAGUCUCCCAAGUAGUGGGACCCUGGAGAGGAACGAGACGAGCCGCUGCCGCCCGCCGUCCUCACAGCAGCAACACCAGCACAAACGCAAAACUGCCAGCGUCAAAGAUGGCGCCUGGCUACAGGCUCCGCUCUAAGACCCGGCCAGUACAAGUGCCAGCACGACGCAAAGCGAGAGGAUUCUGGGAGUUGUAGUUUUCCCUACGAGGCGAGGCUUAAGAUGGCUCCCCGGGGUCACGGGGUCACGCGUGAGGGGAGGCGCUGGGACGCGGGAGGGGGGUGUCUUCGUUUGCGAGGAACGCGCUCUUAGAGACACGGGUCUCUUGGAACCAUCAUUGGCCAAAAAUCGUUUUUAAAGUUUCUCAGCCAAAAAAAAUAAAUAAAUAAAGUUUUUCA
rnacentral:lncRNA from 12 species